rnacentral:rRNA from 1 species
GAUGAACGCUGGCGGCGUGCCUAAUACAUGCAAGUCGAGCGAACAGAUGAGGAGCUUGCUCCUCUGACGUUAGCGGCGGACGGGCGAGUAACACGUGGAUAACCUACCUAUAAGACUGGGACAACUUCGGGAAACCGGAGCUAAUACCGGAUAAUAUAUUGAACCGCAUGGUUCAAUAGUGAAAGACGGUUUUGCUGUCACUUAUAGAUGGAUCCGCGCCGCAUUAGCUAGUUGGUAAGGUAACGGCUUACCAAGGCAACGAUGCGUAGCCGCCCUGAGAGGGUGAUCGGCCACACUGGAACUGAGCCACGCUCCCGACUCCUACUGGCGGCAGCAGUAGGGAAUCUUCCGCAAUGGGCGAAAGCCUGACGGAGCACCGCCGCGUGAGUGCUGAAGGUCUUCGGAUCGUAAAACUCUGUUAUUAGGGAAGAACAAUUGUGUAAGUAACUAUGCACGUCUUGACGGUACCUAAUCAGAAAGCCACGGCUAACUACGUG